rnacentral:tRNA from 1 species
UGGAUUAAACCUAACCAUAAAACUAAAAAUUAUUAAAAUUCCAACAACAAAUACUAGUAAGAAGA